GUGUUCACUUUACGUUAUACAUGCACUAAAAUUGAAAUAAUAGAGAAAUUAGCAUCAUUCUUUGCACCAGGAGGAAAUGUAAAUUUGUAAAGCAAUCCAUAUUUUU